rnacentral:rRNA from 1 species
AGGAUGACGGCCUUCGGGUUGUAAACUCCUGUCAUCAGAGAGUAAGGCUUCCGCGAGUAACUGCGCGGGGGAUUGAUAGUAUCUGAAGAGGAAGGACGGCUAACUCGUGCCAGCAGCCGCGGUAAUACGAAGGUCCCGAGCGUUGUUCGGAUUUACUGGGCGUAAAGCGUCUGUAGGCGGCGCGGCAAGUCAGAUGUGAAAGCCCGGGGCUCAACCCCGGAAAUGCAUCCGAUACUGCCGUGCUGGAGGAUCGGAGGGGAGUCUGGAAUUCACGGUGUAGCAGUGAAAUGCGUAGAUAUCGUGAGGAACACUAGUGGCGAAGGCGAGACUCUGGACGAUUCCUGACGCUGAGAGACGAAGGCCAGGGUAGCGAAAAGGAUUAGAUACCCUUGUAGUCCUGGCAGUAAACGGUGCACGCUUGGUGUGGGAGGGUUCGACCCCUUCCGUGCCGAAGCUAACGCGUUAAGCGUGCCGCCUGGGGAGUACGGCCGCAAGGCUA